rnacentral:other from 2 species
ACACCUCUGUCAUGUUGAUUCAAAAUCGUGAGUUGACCCUACAAACACUAAACUGGGAACCCCCGAAAUUCGGCUGCGUGUAAACCCGGUAUACCCGGGAAACACAACCCGGAUUAUCAGGUUCCCACUUUGCAAUCACGGGUUCUAAUAUACCCGCGUCUGAAUCACUUGGCGGAGGUUUU